UACGGGGGGGGUAAGCGUUGUUCGGAAUUACUGGGCGUAAAGGGCUCGUAGGCGGCCAACUAAGUCAUACGUGAAAUCCCUCAGCUUAACUGGGGAACUGCGUGUGAUACUGGAUGGCUUGGAUUUGGGAGAGGGAUGCGGAAUUCCAGGUGUAGCGGUGAAAUGCGUAGAUAUCUGGAGGAACACCGGUGGCGAAGGCGGCAUCCUGGACCGACAUUGACGCUGAGGCGCGAAAGCGUGGGGAGCAAACAGG
rnacentral:rRNA from 1 species